GAUGAACGCUGGCGGCGUGCCUAACACAUGCAAGUCGAACGCUGACGCUUGGAGCUUGCACUGGGUGGAUGAGCGGCGAACGGGUGAGUAAUACGUGAGUAACCUGCCCUUGACUCUGGGAUAAGCACGGGAAACUGGGUCUAAUACUGGAUAAGACAUGUCACCGCAUGGUGGAGUGUGGAAAGGGUUUUGCUGGGUUUGGAUGGGCUCACGGCCAAUCAGCUUGUUGGUGGGGUAAUGGCACACCAAGGCGACGACGGGUAGCCGGCCUGAGAGGGGGGCCACGCACACGGCGACUACGGGAGGGCCCAGUCGGGAAUGGUAGGCAACAGGCGGGAGUAUGACACAGCGAGCGCGAGCGUGUGACGAAGGCCCCCCGUGAGUAAAGACCUGCUUCGGGUGAAGAACCGCUUUCAGCACAGAAGAAGCGGAAGUGACGGUACCUACAGAAGAAGCACCGGCUAACUACGUG
rnacentral:rRNA from 1 species